rnacentral:rRNA from 1 species
UACGGGGGGUGCGAGCGUUGUCCGGAAUCACUGGGCGUAAAGGGCGCGUAGGUGGUUUGAUAAGGGUGUGGUGAAAGUCCGGGGCUCAACCCCGGAUCUGCCGUGCCGACUGUCAAACUCGAGGGCUGUAGGGGCAGAGGGAAUUCCCAGUGUAGCGGUGAAAUGCGUAGAUAUCUGGAGGAACACCGGUGGCGAAGGCGGCAUCCUGGACCGGCAUUGACGCUGAGGCGCGAAAGCUAGGGGAGCAAACGGG